rnacentral:rRNA from 1 species
UCCUGACUGACCGAUAGUGAACCAGUACCGUGAGGGAAAGGCGAAAAGAACCCCGGCGAGGGGAGUGAAAAAGAACCUGAAACCGUGUACGUACAAGCAGUGGGAGCACGCUUAGGCGUGUGACUGCGUACCUUUUGUAUAAUGGGUCAGCGACUUAUAUUCUGUAGCAAGGUUAACCGAAUAGGGGAGCCGAAGGGAAACCGAGUCUUAACUGGGCGUUAAGUUGCAGGGUAUAGACCCGAAACCCGGUGAUCUAGCCAUGGGCAGGUUGAAGGUUGGGUAACACUAACUGGAGGACCGAACCGACUAAUGUUGAAAAAUUAGCGGAUGACUUGUGGCUGGGGGUGAAAGGCCAAUCAAACCGGGAGAUAGCUGGUUCUCCCCGAAAGCUAUUUAGGUAGCGCCUCGUGAAUUCAUCUCCGGGGGUAGAGCACUGUUUCGGCAAGGGGGUCAUCCCGACUUACCAACCCGAUGCAAACUGCGAAUACCGGAG